rnacentral:rRNA from 1 species
AGUGAACGCUGGCGGUAGGCCUAACACAUGCAAGUCGAACGGCAGCACAGUAAGAGCUUGCUCUUACGGGUGGCGAGUGGCGGACGGGUGAGGAAUACAUCGGAAUCUACUUUUUCGUGGGGGAUAACGUAGGGAAACUUACGCUAAUACCGCAUACGACCUACGGGGGAAAGCAGGGGAACUUCGGACCUUGCGCGAUUGAAUGAGCCGAUGUCGGGUUAGCUAGUUGGCGGGGUAAAGGCCAACCAAGGCGACGAUCCGUAGCUGGUCUGAGAGGAUGAUCGGCCACACUGGAACUUAGACACGGUCCAGACUCCUACGGGAGGCAGCAGUGGGGAAUAUUGGACAAUGGGCGCAAGCCUGAUCCAGCCAUACCGCGUGGGUGAAGAAGGCCUUCGGGUUGUAAAGCCCUUUUGUUGGGAAAGAAAAGCAGCAGGUUAAUACCCCGCUGUUCUGACGGUACCCAAAGAAUAAGCACCGGCCAACUUCGUG